UCGCCCUUUUCCGGUUGAUCCUGCCGGACCCGACUGCUAUCGGAUUGGGAUUUAGCCAUGUUAGUUGUGCGUUCCUUGGCUACAGGGGACGCAGCGUACGGCUCAGUAACACGUAGUCAACCUGCCCUGGAGACGCGGAUAACCCCGGGAAACUGGGACCAAUCCGCGAUAGGUCGCCCCAUCUGGAAGGAGGGGCGGCCCAAAGGGGAAUUGUGGGCUUCCACUUUUCUCGCUCUAGGAUGGGACUGCGGCCGAUCAGGCUGUUGGCGGGGUAAUGGCCCACCAAACCUGUAACCGGUACGGGCCUUGAGAGAGGUGGCCCGGAGAUGGACACUGAGACAAGGGUCCAGGUCCUACGGGGCGCAGCAGGCGCGAAACCUUCGCAAUGUGCGAAAGCAUGACGAGGUUAAUCCGAGUGGCUUCCGCUGAGGAAGUCUUUUGCCGACUGUAAAAAGGUCGGAGAAUAAGGGGAGGGCAAGUCUGGUGUCAGCCGCCGCGGUAAUACCAGCUCCUCGAGUGGUCGGGGCGAUUAUUGGGCCUAAAGCAUCCGUAGCCGGUUCCGUAGGUCUCCUGCAAAAUCCAGUCGCUCAACGAUUGGCCCGCAGGAGAUACCGCGGGACUAGGAGGCGGGAGAGGUGGACGGUACUCCACGUGUAGGGGUAAAAUCCUUUGAUCCGUGGAAGACCACCAGUGGCGAAGGCGGUCCACCAGAACGCGCUCGACGGUGAGGGAUGAAAGCUGGGGGAGCGAACCGGAUUAGAUACCCGGGUGGUCCCAGCCGUAAACGAUGCUAGCUAGAUGAUCCGAUCGUAAAUCAUGAUCGGAGUGUCGCAGGGAAGCCGUUAAGCUAGCCGCCUGGGGAGUACGGUCGCAAGACUGAAACUUAAAGGAAUUGGCGGGGGAGCACCACAAGGGGUGAAGCCUGCGGUUCAAUUGGAGUCAACGCCAGGAAACUUACCAGGAGAGACAGCAGAUUGAGGGUCAGACUGAAGAUCUUACCUGACGAGCUGAGAGGAGGUGCAUGGCCGUCGCCAGCUCGUGCCGUGAGGCGUCCUGUUAAGUCAGGCAACGAGCGAGACCCAAAGGGCGAAU
rnacentral:rRNA from 2 species